UAAGCGGAGGAAAAGAAACUAACAAGGAUUCCCCUAGUAGCGGCGAGCGAAGCGGGAAGAGCUCAAAUUUAUAAUCUGGCACCUUCGGUGUCCGAGUUGUAAUCUCUAGAAAUGUUUUCCGCGCUGGACCGCACACAAGUCUGUUGGAAUACAGCGGCAUAGUGGUGAGACCCCCGUAUAUGGUGCGGAUGCCCAGCGCUUUGUGAUACAUUUUCGAAGAGUCGAGUUGUUUGGGAAUGCAGCUCAAAUUGGGUGGUAAAUUCCAUCUAAAGCUAAAUAUUGGCGAGAGACCGAUAGCGAACAAGUACCGUGAGGGAAAGAUGAAAAGCACUUUGGAAAGAGAGUUAACAGUACGUGAAAUUGUUGGAAGGGAAACGCUUGAAGUCAGACUUGCUUGCCGAGCAAUCGGUUUGCAGGCCAGCAUCAGUUUUCCGGGAUGGAUAAUGGUAGAGAGAAGGUAGCAGUUUCGGCUGUGUUAUAGCUCUCUACUGGAUACAUCUUGGGGGACUGAGGAACGCAGUGUGCCUUACGGCGGGGGUUUCGACCUCUUCACACUUAGGAUGCUGGUGGAAUGGCUUUAAACGAC
rnacentral:rRNA from 1 species